rnacentral:tRNA from 1 species
GCCGGGGUAGCCAAGCCUGGGAAAGGCGCGGGACUUGAGAUCCCGUGUCCAGUUGGACUCAUGGGUUCAAAUCCCAUCCCCGGCGCCA